CCUGCCACUAUACCUGUCCUGAAUUCUGUGGCUGGUAUAUUCCAGUGGUGAGCUGAGAGGAAGCCCCAGUCCAGGAAGCAGUCCUCUUCUGGUUGUGGGGAGGCCUGUGCCGAAAGGCUGGGAACAAGU
ensembl:snoRNA